rnacentral:sRNA from 1 species
GGAUGUGUGAGGAGCGAACCAGAAAGAGUACCGAGACGAAACACGGCCAGUCGUCGGUACUCUUUUUGUG